rnacentral:rRNA from 1 species
AGCCCAACCAAGGCGAUUACGGGUAGCCGGCCUGAGAGGGCGACCGGCCACACUGGGACUGAGACACGGCCCAGACUCCUGCGGGAGGCAGCAGUGGGGAAUAUUGCGCAAUGGGCGAAAGCCUGACGCAGCGACGCCGCGUGGGGGAUGACGGCCUUCGGGUUGUAAACCUCUUUUACCACUCACGCAGGCCCCGCGUUCUCGCGGGGUUGACGGUAGGUGGGGAAUAAGGACCGGCUAACUACGUGCCAGCAGCCGCGGUAAUACGUAGGGUCCGAGCGUUGUCCGGAAUUAUUGGGCGUAAAGAGCUCGUAGGCGGCGUGUCGCGUCUGCUGUGAAAGACCGGGGCUUAACCCCGGUUCUGCAGUGGAUACGGGCAUGCUAGAGGUAGGUAGGGGAGACUGGAAUUCCUGGUGUAGCGGUGAAAUGCGCAGAUAUCAGGAGGAACACCGGUGGCGAAGGCGGGUCUCUGGGCCUUACCUGACGCUGAGGAGCGAAAGCAUGGGGAGCGAACAGGAUUAGAUACCCUGGUAGUCCAUGCCGUAAACGUUGGGCGCUAGGUGUGGGGACUUUCCACGGUUUCCGCGCCGUAGCUAACGCAUUAAGCGCCCCGCCUGGGGAGUACGGCCGCAAGGCUAAAACUCAAAGGAAUUGACGGGGGCCCGCACAAGCGGCGGAGCAUGUUGCUUAAUUCGACGCAACGCGAAGAACCUUACCAAGGUUUGACAUCACCCGUGGACCUGUAGAGAUACAGGGUCAUUUGGUUGGCGGGUGACAGGUGGUGCAUGGCUGUCGGUCAGCCUCGUACAAAUCGGGGAAGAAUGGUUUGGGGGUUAAGUCCCGCAACGAGCGCAACCCUUGUUCCAUGUUGCCAGCACGUAGUGGUGGGGACUCAUGGGAGACUGCCGGGGUCAACUCGGAGGAAGGUGGGGACGACGUCAAGUCAUCAUGCCCCUUAUGUCUUGGGCUGCAAACAUGCUACAAUGGCCGGUACAAUGGGCGUGCGAUACCGUGAGGUGGAGCGAAUCCCUAAAAGCCGGUCUCAGUUCGGAUUGGGGUCUGCAACUCGACCCCAUGAAGGUGGAGUCGCUAGUAAUCGCGGAUCAGCAACGCCGCGGUGAAUACGUUCCCGGGCCUUGUACACACCGCCCGUCACGUCAUGAAAGUCGGCAACACCCGAAACUUGUGGCCUAACCCUUCGGGGAGGGAGUGAGUGAAGGUGGGGCUGGCGAUUGGGACGAAGUCGUAACAAGGUAGCCGUACCGGAAGGUGCGGCUGGAUCACCUCCUCAAA